rnacentral:rRNA from 1 species
GAGGAAUAUUGGUCAAUGGGCGCAAGCCUGAACCAGCCAUCCCGCGUGAAGGAAGAAUGCGCUAUGCGUUGUAAACUUCUUUUCCAGGGGAAUAAAAUUUUGUACGAGUACGGAAUUGAAGGUACCCUGGGAAUAAGCAUCGGCUAACUCCGUGCCAGCAGCCGCGGUAAUACGGAGGGUGCGAGCGUUAUCCGGAUUUAUUGGGUUUAAAGGGUGCGUAGGCGGAUUGAUAAGUCAGUGGUGAAAACCUGCAGCUUAACUGUAGACUUGCCAUUGAUACUGUCAGUCUUGAGUGUGGUCAAGGUAGGCGGAAUGUGUAAUGUAGCGGUGAAAUGCUUAGAUAUUACACAGAACACCGAUUGCGAAGGCAGCUUGCUGGGCCAUUACUGACGCUGAUGCACGAAAGCGUGGGGAUCGAAC